rnacentral:siRNA from 1 species
UAUAGUCAUCAUGGAGUUCUUGAA